UACGUAGGGUGCAAGCGUUGUCCGGAAUUAUUGGGCGUAAAGAGCUUGUAGGCGGUUUGUCGCGUCUGCUGUGAAAUUUCGGGGCUCAACCCCGAACUUGCAGUGGGUACGGGCAGACUAGAGUGUGGUAGGGGAGACUGGAAUUCCUGGUGUAACGGUGAAAUGCGCAGAUAUCAGGAGGAACACCGAUGGCGAAGGCAGGUCUCUGGGCCACUACUGACGCUGAGAAGCGAAAGCAUGGGGAGCGAACAGG
rnacentral:rRNA from 1 species